AGUGAACGCUGGCGGUAGGCCUAACACAUGCAAGUCGAACGGCAGCACAGUAAGAGCUUGCUCUUACGGGUGGCGAGUGGCGGACGGGUGAGGAAUACAUCGGAAUCUACUUUUUCGUGGGGGAUAACGUAGGGAAACUUACGCUAAUACCGCAUACGACCUACGGGUGAAAGCAGGGGAUCUUCGGACCUUGCGCGAUUGGAUGAGCCGAUGUCGGAUUAGCUAGUUGGCGGGGUAAAGGCCCACCAAGGCGACGAUCCGUAGCGGGUCUGAGAGGAGGAUCAGCCACACUGGAACUGAGACACGGUCCAGACUCCUACGGGAGGCAGCAGUGGGGAAUAUUGGACAAUGGGCGCAAGCCUGAUCCAGCCAUACCGCGUGGGUGAAGAAGGCCUUCGGGUUGUAAAGCCCUUUUGUUGGGAAAGAAAAGCAGCAGGUUAAUACCCCGCUGUUCUGACGGUACCCAAAGAAUAAGCACCGGCUAACUUCGUG
rnacentral:rRNA from 1 species